rnacentral:misc_RNA from 1 species
GUGAAUCAUCAAAUUUUUGAACGCAAAUUGCGCCUUUUUCGGAAGGCAUGUCUGUUUGAGGUCACCGUUUAACAAAUAAUGUGCAUUUCGUGUGCACACGUUGAUGUGCUUUCCAAAAUUAUGUAUUAUUAUUUUUUUUGGCGCAUAAUAAACAGCUCGAUGCUUUUUUUCAUUUCGAGUUUAGUAAAAUUUUUUCUUGCUUGGGUUGUGAAAAGCUUGAUUGCGCAAUUGGUUUGGCGAUUCUACUAACCCUGC